GUUCAGGUUUCCACCCUCAUCAAAAACCUGAUGGACUUUGAGUGGCAUCUCAUUUAGUAAGUGCCACUUGGACUCUUGAAAACCACAUUUUAAAACCCUGUUAAUACUAGAAUUCCACAUUAUUUCAGCCAUGUUGAAUUUUAGAUUUUGGAAGUCCUUUUUCAUUGAUUUGUUUAGUGAUACCCAAACAAUGGAUAUUUCUUUAAGAACUGUGUUUAUAUGUUCAUAAGAUUGUAAAAAUUAAUGAGAUAAACCCAGUUUAUGUCGCUGUAAACUGAAAGUCUUCAAUUUUUAUUCCAGUGUUAGUGAAACUAUAUAUUGACUUUGAAGGCCUAUUUUUUACCAGUUCUCUGAGGAAUGGUUUUGUUUUAUUUGUUUUGAAUGUUUGAAGAUAUUGGAAAUAUAUGUGGUUUGAGGCAUAGUGGUGCCUUUAAAUAAAAAUUCUGUUCUGACGGUUACUUAUCGCAUCCUCUUUUGUGUUAUGUAAAGUUCUGAUUAUGCAGAUUAUGCAUUUUAGAACCGCACCAAUUGUACCACUUCUAAGAAGCCUACACUGGGUCAGGUAUUAAUGUUCUAUCGUAAAACUAAGACUGUACUUUAAAAAGUAGCAUUACAGUUUUCUUGGCAGUAGUUUACUCAUAAAGUGAAUGCAGGAGUAAAACUAAACUUACUGUUAAAAAUACUGGAACGCUACUAUCUGAAGGUAUAUUUACUUUCACCACUGUAUUUUACGGUGGCCAACAGGUGCAAAGACGCGAAAAACACAUGCAACAAAAAAGAGAUGCAAACAAAAAAUGCUGAAAACAGAAGUGAUCCAGACCACUAGGUGGAGUCGAACAAAGAACAGCUGUGUCCGAAGUCAGGUUUUGCAUCUUUGGGUCCUCGACAACCGGAAGAGAGAAGCUGUAGCUUUCAGCUAGCUGCUUAGCCUCUACCUUGGCGUUAUGUUGCUUAGCAACCAUGACAACGUGAAUCACGUAGCGGCGAAGAAAAAAAACGGACUCGAAAUAU